rnacentral:lncRNA from 1 species
UACCAGGAUCCAAAGACGACAAGCAAGCCACAGAAAGAUUCCUGACAUCACUACUGUUCAUCUAUAGGAAGAUUCCUAACACUAUACAAAAACGACAAGAUGCUAUUGGAAGUUGAACUUAAAACCAAUUAAGUUUCGACUUCAGUUCUGACUUCUACAAGUUGCCAAUUUUCAAACUAGAUGAAGUUCGUCAGAUUUCAAACUGAUUGAAGUCUGCAUAGUUCCUUCCCUCGCCUAUAAAUAAAGGGGAAG